UGUAGGUGGUGAAAGACAAGCUUCUAAAUCGUCCGAAUCAUCCCCACCCGUGGUAAUGGUUCGGCCAGGGAGGUGGGAUGGUACGGACACUCAUAAUGCUCGCCAUAAUAUUAAUAUAACUUAAGUUUGAUUGGCUAAUAAACAAGAUUAUAUCUUCUACAAAACAUUUAUAUAAGGACAAAGUAUCCUCUCAAUAUUUAAAGGGGAAAAAAAAUGUAACGGUCCGAAUGUGAGUGAACGAGAAUGUGAGUAAGUCAGUGAGUAACAGAGUGAGUAAGUGUAAGCGAGUGCAUGAAUGAACGAGAGAAUGUGAGUAAGUCGGUGAGUGACAGAGUGAGUAAGUGUGAGUGAGUGGGAGCGUGAGUGAAUGAGUGAAUGAGUGAAAGAGUGAAUGGGUGGCUGAGGAAUGUAAGUGCGUAAAAGGUUAUGAGAGGAUAACACGGCGAGCGAAUGAGUAAAUAUCGUGAACGAGAGUUACUGAAAUCCCUCAUCUCAAAGCCUCGAACCCCUCCAAGAAACCAAUAACUAGUUAGUUAGUUAGGUAGGGUUUGAUUGUAAUGCCGAGAGGGAGUCACGUGAAGAAGGGGGAGGAGCUUAGCGAGGAGCAGAGGCGAGAAGGCGAGGGCAAGGAGACCCACGGGUCAGUGAGGAGAGAAGCACCACUGCAGCAAGCCAGAAGCUUGAGAGAAGUGAGGAGACUAGCACCACUGCAGCAAGCUAGAAGCUUGGGAGACGCGAGGAGACGAACACACCACCCACGGCUUGCUGUGUGAGGCGGGCUAGUCAGGAGACGAGCACACCACCCACGGCCUGUGUGAGGCGGGCUAGCCAGGAGAUGAGCAGCAGCCCUAGCCAGGAAAGGCAGCAAGUUCGAGUUGAGUGAGAGAGGUGUCUAUCUCUCCACUCAGGCCCCCCCCCCCCCCCCCCGAGAAAAACACCCACGGCCUGCGGGGUGAGACGGACUACAGGAUGGGAACUUGUAUGGCGGGGUAACCUGCAGUGUAUGGCGGGGUAACCUGCCCCUCGACUGCCCUGGGGGCCGAAAUACCACUGCCCAAGCUGCUCCCUACAUCAAAGGGCACCCGCCUCUUCACACCACCCGAGCCGCUCCACAUCAAGCGGCGCCCGUCUGUCCAUCACCAGGACCGCCCAUUCCCAUCGUGGCCGUCCCCUGCCGAGCCAGACACUCACGCCAGCUCCUCCUUCUCCACAUCCAGCAACUAGAGCUAAGCAUUCUGUGUAUUCCCCAAAUCUCCCUUGUGCCGGUAGCUAGCUAGAUUAGAGGCCUACAGCCUGUCAGUCAUUCAUUUUUUUUUCAUUCAUUUUUUUUAUUUUUAUUAGAACUCCGCUAACCUUUGCAAAAGGAAACCAAAUACAUAUUUAUAUACAACCUUACUGAGUGUUAUCAUUUGGAGCCUGUUUUGCUGCUCAUUUGAGAUUACUGAACCAUACACACAUCCCUCCCCCAUAGCACAUUAUCACCAUCCAGUUUCUUAAUGCUGUCUCAAAAGUGGUUCCCACGGAAAUCCUUCCAUAAUUAACCACACAAGUAACGCCCUUCCGGUCACAAACUUUGGAACGAGUGUUCACUUGUUAUGAGGCCUUAACAUCCGGGACCAGCGCUCGACCACUACCACGCUACCACAUACCAUCAUAACCCUAGUGGUCGUUAAAAAGGGGAUGUAGCUUUAAUUUGUUUUCUCUUUCCACGCUACAAAAAUAAAAGAACUAAGAAAUAUCUGUACUUUUGGUAUUAUGGCUUCCUUCUCUUCUCACAAGCAUAAUAUCUGAAUAUAAAUCAACCAAAUUAAGUGUGGUCACACUCCUUUUCCAGCACAAGAGCCUCGGUGGUGAUCGUGUUAUACGGCAACACCUUCGCCGAGCAUCGCUGCGUCACCGAAAUAACUUGCAUCUCGCUAAUUGGCACGUUUUUGAAGAGCUUAACGAUACACCCUGACAAUAUUACAUAAGAGAUGCAAAAAACUUAAAUUAGGACUUGCAGCGAAAAUAACAGCUCUGAGGGCGUGGUUAUCCCUUUGUGGGCCAAGGCAACAAAGUUUUGCACAUUUGUAGUGACGACUAGCCUGAUACCUGAGGAGGAGCAGGAAAGAUGAGGAGAGGAGGGAGGGGCCGAGGGUGAGGAGGAGCAGGGAAGAUGAGGAGAGGGAGGAGAGAGGGGACAAACAGUAUAAGAAGGGGAGAGAAAAUGGGAGCGCUAGGAGAAGGGAAGGGGGAGAAGGGAGCUAGGGGCCGAGGGUGAGGAGCAGGAAAGAUGGGAGGAGGGAGAAGAGAGGAGCAGCUUGUUAAACAGUAAGAAGGGGAGAGAAGAUGAAAGCUAGAAGGGAGGGGGAAGAAGAGAAGGGAGACCAUGAAAGUGAAUUAUAUAAUCAGCCUCUUACCAUUUCCAGCAUAUUAUUUUACUUAUCAAAUAAAUCUCCCAAAUAAAUCCGUAUUUCCAUAACUCUCCCUACAAAGAUUGAUUGAUAGAUAAUUUAUUGUGGCAGAUAAACAAGGGAGAAGGGAGGCACAUGCCAUCCCAACCCCCAGGCAGGACAGUGAUUAUACAACUAUUAAUACAAAAAGGGAAUAUAAGAGUAUGAAUUGCAUGGUGAAUAAUUAUAUAUAUGGUGUGUGCCUUUAUUUCAAAUGUCAACACUUGAAAGCAUAUUUAUUGGAAAGCAGAACACAAUUAUAAGAGAGCCAUAUAAAACUCAGUAGUAAACAUACCGACAAAAUACAUACUGGGAUAAGUUAAUGUUGAGCAAAAGAAAACAAAUAAACAAUGAUAACAAUAAUAAAAGACAUCAACAUCACUGCAGUUAAUUACUUCUAUACUGCAUGAAGUGUAGGUAUAGGGAUUCUAAAAAGGAGGUUGGGGCCUUAUGAAGGGAUAUAGAGAGAACUGAUAGAGAAGAUAUAUUUAUAAAGGGCAGGGGAGAGAGAAUCAAUGGAAAAGAUAUAUAUUUGUAAAGGGCAGGGGAGAGAGAAUCAAUGGAAAAGAUAUAUAUUUGUAAAGGGCAGGGGAGAGAGAAUUAAUAGAAAAGAUAUAUUUGUAUGGGGCAGGGGAGAGAGAAUUAAUAGAAAAGAUAUAUUUGUAUGGGACAGGGGAGAGAGAAUUAAUAGAAAAGAUAUAUUUGUAUGGAGCAGGGGAGAGAGAAUUAAUAGAAAAGAUAUAUUUGUGUGGAAUAGGGGACAUAGAAUAGA